AAGAACUGAAUACAAUUACUACAAAAAGAAAAGGUGGUGGUGUUGAGCAUGGCAUAUUUUGAUUCCAUGAAAGAAUCGAAUUUCUACUUCAAAGAUGAACCAGAUGGUGGUAAAAUGAAACUCAUGUACAAAAUUUUGGAUACUGAGUUGCUCAAGUUUUCCUAUCUUCUCAAGGUGGGAUGGGAGUGUGGACUUCACCCUCUUCUGUGAGGUCAGGAAAGCCCUG